rnacentral:rRNA from 1 species
UACGGAGGGUGCAAGCGUUAUCCGGAUUCACUGGGUUUAAAGGGUGCGUAGGCGGUCAGGUAAGUCAGUGGUGAAAUCUCCGGGCUUAACCCGGAAACUGCCGUUGAUACUAUCUGUCUUGAAUAUCGUGGAGGUAAGCGGAAUAUGUCAUGUAGCGGUGAAAUGCUUAGAUAUGACAUAGAACACCCAUUGCGAAGGCAGCUUACUACACGAUCAUUGACGCUGAGGCACGAAAGCGUGGGGAGCAAACAGG